rnacentral:rRNA from 1 species
UGGGGAAUAUUGCACAAUGGGCGCAAGCCUGAUGCCGCAAUGCCGCGUUUGUGAAGAAGGCCUUGGGGUUGUAAAGCACUUUCAGCGGGGAGGAAGGCGUUAAGGUUAAUAACCUUGGCGAUUGACGUUACCCGCAGAAGAAGCACCGGCUAACUCCGUGCCAGCAGCCGCGGUAAUACGGAGGGUGCAAGCGUUAAUCGGAAUUACUGGGCGUAAAGCGCACGCAGGCGGUCUGUCAAGUCGGAUGUGAAAUCCCCGGGCUCAACCUGGGAACUGCAUUCGAAACUGGCAGGCUAGAGUCUUGUAGAGGGGGGUAGAAUUCCAGGUGUAGCGGUGAAAUGCGUAGAGAUCUGGAGGAAUACCGGUGGCGAAGGCGGCCCCCUGGACAAAGACUGACGCUCAGGUGCGAAAGCGUGGGGAGCAAACAGG